rnacentral:lncRNA from 1 species
CUUAAAUUUAUUGAUUUUUUUAUGUACACAUGAUCACACAUGUAAACUAGAAUAUACCAUAUUCAAGCACUCAGGAGUAAAUAGUAGAGCAAUAGGCACAAUUAAACCGGCAUUAUCUUAGGGCUCAGGGCUUCAAACCUUACCAAUUGCAUUACUUGGUCCUGGUCAACCAAACAAGCACAUAUCUUAUUUCAGAAAAAGCACAAAAUAUUGCUACAAGAUCUACUUCCACAAGUUGCCUGUGCCCAUCAUCCCAUAGCAAUUUGCAAGUCGGCACUCCAUGAUAUUAUAGAGCUGAAUAAUUAAGCAUCAUCUACUGGAGUUAAAACUGUCCCGCAAACAUAUGGUAGCUAAUAAUUUUAACGCGUCCAGCAGUUACCUGUUAAUCAACUCAUGCCGUGUAAAUAGAAACCAUUUGCCAAAGGAUUAUCAUAGGCUUCUUUGUUCCCAGAAUCUGUGAGUACAUUCCACACUACUUCAGGAUAAAUCCCUGCUUGUCAGGAAAAAUCCCGCUUGAAUCGAGAAUAAACUUCUCAAAAACUUCUCAAAAUCCACGAGCUUCCAAAGCAUAUCUUAACCCAAUGUAAUGUUUACUGUUCUUACCUGAACGGAAGAAUAUUUCGUACAUAAGUAGAUGUUGUGAAUAGAACACUCCAACCGUAGCACCUUGAAACUCUUCGUGACAUUGAGCCAUAUUCAGAGUUUAAAAAGGUGAGGCCCUCCAAAAAUUCGUCUCCAAAUCCAUAUAAUGCAAAAGGUAGUAUCUAGGUGUCAUGUCUGUCCAUUCACUGUUGCGCCUUCAUGAUUUUAUCCCAUUUCUCCAACGUCCGAUCAGCUUUAGCAUAGGUUCUUCCUUAUGCUGAGGUGUAGUCUUGUUACCACCAUUUUUUAACUUUCACGGUUUGCAUUCUAAGUGCCCACUUAGCAACCUGACAUGAAAUUAUUAAAAUCUUUUGAACGUGAUUUGCUUCCAUGCUCCACUAGCAACAUCUGGAACUAGCAGCUUUGAUCUUGCUUUAUCACUAGGACUUCAAAACCUAGAAAAUAGAUAAUUAAAUAAGUAAAAGAUAAGAAGUAUCUGCAUCUUUCAAGCAUCGUACAAACUGAAGAAGAUUCUAUCUUGAUUCAGACUUGACCUUAAUUUC